rnacentral:rRNA from 1 species
AUUGAACGCUGGCGGCAGGCCUAACACAUGCCAGUCGAGCGGAAGAACGGAGCUUGCUCCUGGUUUCAGCGGCGGAGGGGCGAGUAAUGCCUAGGAACCUGCGUGGCAGCGGGGGAUAACGUGCGGAAACGGGGGCUAAUACCGCAUUCGCCCAGAGGGCGUAAGGGGGGGAUCAUCGGACCUUAGGCCAUUAGACGAGCCGAGGUCGGAUUAGCUAGUUGGUGGGGUAAAGGCCUACCAAGGCGACGAUCCGUAACUGGUCUGAGAGGAUGAUCAGUCACACUGGAACUGAGACACGGUCCAGACUCCUACGGGAGGCAGCAGUGGGGAAUAUUGGACAAUGGGCGAAAGCCUGAUCCAGCCAUGCCGCGUGUGUGAAGAAGGUCUUCGGAUUGUAAAGCACUUUAAGUUGGGAGGAAGGGCAGUAAGUUAAUACCUUGCUGUUUUGACGUUACCAACAGAAUAAGCACCGGCUAACUUCGUG